GAUGAACGCUGGCGGCGUGCCUAAUACAUGCAAGUCGAGCGAAUGGAUUGAGAGCUUGCUCUUAUGAAGUUAGCGGCGGACGGGUGAGUAACACGUGGGUAACCUGCCCAUAAGACUGGGAUAACUACGGGAAACCGGGGCUAAUACCGGAUAACAUUUUGAACAGCAUGGUUCGAAAUUGAAAGGCGGCUUCGGCUGUCACUUAUGGAUGGACCCGGGUCGCAUUAGCUAGUGGGUGGGGUAACGGCUAACCAAGGCAACGAUGCGGAGCCGACCUGAGAGGGUGAUCGGCCACACUGGGACUGAGACACGGCCCAGACUCCUACGGGAGGCAGCAGUAGGGAAUCUUCCGCAAUGGACGAAAGUCUGACGGAGCAACGCCGCGUGAGUGGUGAAGGCUUUCGGGUCGUAAAACUCUGUUGUUAGGGAAGAACAAGUGCUAGUUGAAUAAGCUGGCACCUUGACGGUACCUAACCAGAAAGCCACGGCUAACUACGUGCCAGCCGCCGCCGUAA
rnacentral:rRNA from 1 species